rnacentral:rRNA from 1 species
UGAACGCUGGCGGCAUGCCUUACACAUGCAAGUCGAACGGCAGCACGGGUGCUUGCACCUGGUGGCGAGUGGCGAACGGGUGAGUAAUACAUCGGAACAUGUCCAGUAGUGGGGGAUAGCCCGGCGAAAGCCGGAUUAAUACCGCAUACGAUCUUUGGAUGAAAGCGGGGGAUCGCAAGACCUCGCGCUAUUGGGGUGGCCGAUGGCGGAUUAGCUAGUUGGUGGGGUAAAGGCUCACCAAGGCGACGAUCCGUAGCUGGUCUGAGAGGACGACCAGCCACACUGGGACUGAGACACGGCCCAGACUCCUACGGGAGGCAGCAGUGGGGAAUGUCGGACAAUGGGCGAAAGCCUGAUCCAGCAAUGCCGCGUGUGUGAAGAAGGCCUUCGGGUUGUAAAGCACUUUGGUCCGGAAAGAAAUCCUGGUGGCUAAUAUCCGUCG